AGAGGUUUUAAUAUACCUGUCUGGUGAGGCUGGAGAUGUGCUCAAUCACUCUUUCACCUUUGCCAUUUUAUUACACUCUGACCAAACCAGACGACAUGCAAGUCCCAGAGCAAAAUGUAUUUUUCACUAUUCUAAGACCUUGUAGUUAGAAUUAGAAUGCAACUUCCUUUCCCUCCUUACUUGGCUAGCUCCUAUUAUUCCAUAAAGCCUCAAUUAAUUUUGUAACCACCAAAGUUAUGGAUGCUACAGUUUCCAUAACUGGGUGAAAUAAAUGAGUGAAAGAACACAGUCUCAAAGCAUCACCCCACUGAUCAAAGGGAAAACAUCUUUACAGAGGAGAAACCUGGUAGAUGCCACCUUAUCCAACUAAUUGAUCAGGGUUGGUA